rnacentral:rRNA from 1 species
UACGUAGGGACCGAGCGUUGUCCGGAUUCAUUGGGCGUAAAGAGCUCGUAGGCGGCUGUUCAAGUCGAACGUGAAAACUCGGAGCUCAACUCCGAGCCUGCGUUCGAUACUGGACGGCUAGAGUCUGGUAGGGGGAUCUGGAAUUCCCGGUGUAGCGGUGAAAUGCGUAGAUAUCGGGAGGAACAUCAGUGGCGAAGGCGGCUACCUGGCCCAAUACUGACACUCAGGUGCGACAGCGUGGGGAGCAAACAGG